rnacentral:rRNA from 1 species
GACGAACGCUGGCGGCGCGCCUAACACAUGCAAGUCGAACGAGAGAUGAGGAGCUUGCUCUUCAAAUCGAGUGGCGAACGGGUGAGUAACGCGUGAGGAACCUGCCUCAAAGAGGGGGACAACAGUUGGAAACGACUGCUAAUACCGCAUAAGCCCACGGCUCGGCAUCGAGCAGAGGGAAAAGGAGCAAUCCGCUUUGAGAUGGCCUCGCGUCCGAUUAGCUAGUUGGUGAGGUAACGGCCCACCAAGGCGACGAUCGGUAGCCGGACUGAGAGGUUGAACGGCCACAUUGGGACUGAGACACGGCCCAGACUCCUACGGGAGGCAGCAGUGGGGAAUAUUGCACAAUGGGGGAAACCCUGAUGCAGCGACGCCGCGUGGAGGAAGAAGGUCUUCGGAUUGUAAACUCCUGUUGUUGAGGAAGAUAAUGACGGUACUCAACAAGGAAGUGACGGCUAACUACGUGCCAGCAGCCGCGGUAAAACGUAGGUCACAAGCGUUAUCCGGAAUUACUGGGUGUAAAGGGAGCGCAGGCGGGAGAACAAGUUGGAAGUGAAAUCCAUGGGCUCAACCCAUGAACUGCUUUCAAAACUGUUUUUCUUGAGUAGUGCAGAGGUAGGCGGAAUUCCCGGUGUAGCGGUGGAAUGCGUAGAUAUCGGGAGGAACACCAGUGGCGAAGGCGGCCUACUGGGCACCAACUGACGCUGAGGCUCGAAAGUGUGGGUAGCAAACAGGAUUAGAUACCCUGGUAGUCCACACCGUAAACGAUGAUUACUAGGUGUUGGAGGAUUGACCCCUUCAGUGCCGCAGUUAACACAAUAAGUAAUCCACCUGGGGAGUACGACCGCAAGGUUGAAACUCAAAGGAAUUGACGGGGGCCCGCACAAGCAGUGGAGUAUGUGGUUUAAUUCGACGCAACGCGAAGAACCUUACCAAGUCUUGACAUCCCUUGACGAUGCUGGAAACAGUAUUUCUCUUCGGAGCAAGGAGACGGGUGGUGCAUGGUUGUCGUCAGCUCGUGUCGUGAGAUGUUGGGUUAAGUCCCGCAACGAGCGCAACCCUUAUGGUCAGUUACUACGCAAGAGGACUCUGGCCAGACUGCCGUUGACAAAACGGAGGAAGGUGGGGAUGACGUCAAAUCAUCAUGCCCUUUAUGACUUGGGCUACACACGUACUACAAUGGCGUUAAACAAAGAGAAGCAAGACCGCGAGGUGGAGCAAAACUCAGAAACAACGUCCCAGUUCGGACUGCAGGCUGCAACUCGCCUGCACGAAGUCGGAAUUGCUAGUAAUCGUGGAUCAGCAUGCCACGGUGAAAUACGUUCCCGGGCCU